CGCAAGUGUAUGUCUAUGCUGCUGCGGUUAAAAAGCUCGUAGUUUGAUUCGCGUGCUUAGCACUGAGUGUGGCCUUUCGGCUACUACUCUGAUGCGGUACAUUAUCGGCAGUUUGUCGUUGAUGCUCUUCAUUGGGUGUCAGCGGCUGCUGUCAAGUUUACUUUGAACAAAUUAAAGUGCUCAACACAGGCGUUUCGCUUGUAUAGUCUUGCAUAGAAUAAUAGAAUAAGACUUUCGUUUAUUUCUUGUUGGUCUCAAUGACGAAAGUAAUGAUUAAGAGGGACAGACGGGACAUUUGUACUGCGACGUUAGAGGUGAAAUUCUUGGAUCGUCGCAAGACAAACUACUGCGAAG
rnacentral:rRNA from 1 species